rnacentral:lncRNA from 10 species
CGGAGGCCCCACUGCCCUUGCAUUCCACAGGAAGUCCCAGUUGCUGGCAUGACCUGAGAGGUUCCUGGGACCACGCCAUGGAAAUGCGUCCGGUCCCAGUGUGACGGGGAAGAGCCGCGCCUGAAGCUCAACUUCCGAGGCUCUCAUCAAUCUACGCUUCCUUUGGAGCGUGCAGCCACCAGGUGGCAGCCGAGGCCACGGGCAGACAGAAAAGCUCCCGAAACUGAAGGACUGCCAGGCAGCAGAGUUCCGGAGGGCUCCCAGGACCUUCAACCAGAAAGAGACAGAGCAUAUGCGCAUAUGUAUGUCUGAGCCCGUGCACGGAGGAGGAGUAUGAACAGACACCGCGGGACAGAUGGCUGGAGUUUAGUCCCUUCCUUCGGGGCUCUUCACCACUCCUUGGGCUUCCCUUCUCCUGUCCAGCCCUGUCCUGGGUGCACAGAGAGGGAAGUCACUCCAUUCCUGCCCUUGAGGAGCUCCCAGACCCAGGGCAGGAGCAGGAUGCAGACAAGUAGACAGCACCCUGGGCCCUGCAAGGAAUGUACUAUAGAGCCAAUUUUACCGGCAAAGGA